rnacentral:rRNA from 1 species
AUGAACGCUGGCGGCGUGCUUAACACAUGCAAGUCGAACGAAGCAUUUAGGACAGAUUACUUCGGUUUGAAGUUCUUUAUGACUGAGUGGCGGACGGGUGAGUAACGCGUGGGUAACCUGCCUUGUACUGGGGGAUAGCAGCUGGAAACGGCUGGUAAUACCGCAUAAGCGCACAAUGUUGCAUGACAUGGUGUGAAAAACUCCGGUGGUAUAAGAUGGACCCGCGUCUGAUUAGCUAGUUGGUGAGAUAACAGCCCACCAAGGCGACGAUCAGUAGCCGACGGGAGAGGGGGACCGGACACAUGGGGGCUGGGACACGGCGUAGAAUCCUACGGGAGGCAGGAGUGGGGAAUAUUGCACAAUGGAGGAAACGCAGAUGCAGCGCCGACGCGUGAGUGAAGAAGUAAUGCGUUAUGUAAAGCUCUAUAAGCAGGGAAGAUAGUGACGGUACCUGACGAAGAAGCUCCGGCUAAAUACGUG